rnacentral:rRNA from 1 species
CAAACUGGAGAUGGCGACCGGCGCACGGGUGAGUAACACGUAUCCAACCUGCCGAUAACUCGGGGAUAGCCUUUCGAAAGAAAGAUUAAUACCCGAUGGCAUAAUAGAACCGCAUGGUUUGAUUAUUAAAGAAUUUCGGUUAUCGAUGGGGAUGCGCUCCAUUAGGCAGUUGGUGGGGUAACGGCCCACCAAACCUUCGAUGGAUAGGGGUUCUGAGAGGAAGGUCCCCCACAUUGGAACUGAGACACGGUCCAAACUCCUACGGGAGGCAGCAUG